CAUAAAGAAUUGAAAGGUUAUUAGAACCAUCUUUAAAUAUUUGUGAAGUACUAAGGACUAAUGAUUCGUUUAUGAAGAAUCUAACUUAAAACCUAUGGAAUAUUGAUUCUAAUUUCUUGUCAGAUUGAAAUGACAAAGUUAUGUCAGGUUAUAUUUUUAUCCUAUAAAGAAGAGAGACAUGCUGGAAAGAUUCCAUGCAAUAGUAAGUAGCCA
rnacentral:lncRNA from 1 species